UACGGAGGUUGCAAGCGUUAAUCGGAAUUACUGGGCGUAAAGCGCACGCAGGCGGUCAUUUAAGUCAGAUGUGAAAGCCCCGGGCUUAACCUGGGAAGUGCAUUUCAGACUGGGAAUCUAGAGUACUUUAGGGAGGGGUAGAAUUCCACGUGUAGCGGUGAAAUGCGUAGAGAUGUGGAGGAAUACCGAAGGCGAAGGCAGCCCCUUGGGACGAUACUGACGCUCAUGUGCGAAAGCGUGGGGAGCAAACAGG
rnacentral:rRNA from 1 species